GGCUUGGUAGGUUAGUUGGUAAAGCACUUAUCUAGCGUUUAAGAGUCGUAAGUUCAAUCUCACCUGUGCUG
rnacentral:tRNA from 1 species